AGCAGGCUUCAGGCUCUGAGCUGUCAGCAAAGAGCCUGACUCGAGGCUCGAACUCACAGACCAUGAGCUCAUGACCUGAGCCAAAGUCGGAUUCUCAACUGACUGAGCCACCCAGGUGCCCCUCCAUGUUGCAUCUUUAAAAUACAUGCAGAAUUGCUCCAAACUGCUCAAAGCUGUCUAUAGCAGCCAAGAGGAUGCAGCUGAUUUUUGUAUCCUGUUUUCCUAGAGACCAUUCCAAACCUGUAUCACACAGAUGUGUGUAUGGCACAGAGGUUGGGGAGGACUCAGAUUCUCACUGUAUCUCCUAUCACGGAAGUCUGAGCCUCAGGACACUGUUAUUGUGGCUUCAAGCUGACUCUGUGCCCUGAGCUGUGUCUAAGCACACCCUGCAGUUUGCUGGGUUGGUUACAAGUUGUCUUGUUGAUUGAGGUAAAGCUCCUGUCACAUAGGCCUCCCAUCACUUCCUUCUCAAAUUUUCCUUGUCACCUUCUGAUUCCAUCCAUAUGCUUUUUCCUCUGCAGGAGACAUUGCUUCCACCACUGCUCACCCCAGCCGUGACCCAUGCUGCACCCCAGUUACGCUGAAUACAUUCCUCAGCUGGGGGCUUAGUCAGCCCCUCCAAGAGAGCCACCCAAGUGCUCCCUGACUAGAGCUGUGCUCAGGUGAUCUGUUUCAGGGAUCUCCUCCUAGGUGACUUUUUAUUGUGUGUUUAUUUCAUAUGUAUCUUCCAGAGAAUAAUUAGGAUCGAUGGAGGCAGAGACUGCAAAGUUCUUACUCACACAGGCAUGCUGCACACACCCCCUUGCACCUGGUGAACAGGACAGAGAUUCCCCAGAGACAGGACAAUGGGUGUACAUGGGGGAGGGUGCAGGAUCUGUAUCUGCGCAGCCUGCUCCAUGCCCAGCUCUGUCCUUCACACCGCAUGACCCAGGGCAGGCUCAACAAACCUCUCUAGGAGUCCCUUGCCUCAUGUCUAAAAUAGGAGUGACAGUCAUUCCAGUACCAUCCUCAAGGGGUGCUUGUGAAGACAGAAGUAGUAUUUGCCUAAUGUCCUCGCAAGGUGCUUGUCCUGUUAUCACUAAACGUGUGGAGGCCUGGCCCCGCAUUACUGGGUCACGACCUCACUCAGCAGGCCUGAGCCUCCAUGCAGCUCUGAGGUCCAUGCUAGGACCACUGUCACCACAGCUGUCACCCCCCCCCCCCCCCCCGCCAUUGCCACAGCCAAUCCCAAACUCUGUCUUUUGUGUAUGGUGUAAGAAAGUGGUCCAGGUUCAUUCUUCUGCAUGUUGCUGUCGGUUUUCCCAGCACCACUUGCUGAAGAGACUGUCUUUAUUCCAUUGGGUAUUCUUUCCUGCUUUGUCACAGAUUAGUUGGCCAUACGUUUGUGGGUCCAUUUCUGGGUUCUCUAUUCUGUUCCAUUGAUCUGAGUGUUUUCGUGCCAGUACCAGUCAGCCUCUAUCAUGGGCAUUCUUUUCUCAGUUCUACGUUGUGUGCCUGCCUUUUGUUUUCCUUAAAGCACAGAUGUCUAGGGGCUGGAUGUCUACUGGGGACAUGGGAUACACAGUAGUGCUGUGGUGUCCCUGCCCUCCUGGCACGUUCAUUGUACAGUCUCUCAGGUUCUUCCAAAGAACACAACCCCCCCCCCCAUGCUCGCCCACGUGUCCCAGCACUUAACUGGCAAUUGUCCAUUUAAUCCAAACUUGUAAAGUGAGUUUAGUCACCUAUGCCCGCAGCCUGUCUGAAGAGAGGUUAGUAAAUUUCUCGUCCAAAACCAGGCAGAAAAGCCUGUUUAGCCCCACAGUCACUGAAGACAUGGGAUAAGUCACCAAGACAACUUCCUAAGGAACAGAACUCACACUUGAAUCCUUAGUGGUCACUUCCUACGUCGUUCCUUCAAUGAACAUAUAUCAUUCUAAACAGACUCAGAGUUUUCCAUCGAAUGCAAGAUGGUUCACUCCACAGCUAAUUGAAGUGGGCAAGCCUAACCAUAAUCCCAGAAGGAAGUGAGCACCAAGGACUUCUGGGCAUCACAGCUUUGGGGGCAGCACCAGGGAGCGGUUGAUACCAGCCUGCACAGCACAGUCUAAAGAUGCUGCCCUGCCCAGUGCAAGAUAGGGACCUCUCUGGCCAGGAUACCCCACCACUGAGAUUCCUGGGACAGUGCAGAUUGUGCCCAGGGCCCUGCAAUAAAGGCAGAGAGACACGGGGAUGGUGAGGCUGAAGUCAUUGUCCUGUUGUGCCCUCAGAUAAGAAGGAAAUGACUGAGCCUCCCCUGAUUCAUGGACAGCAGAUCACCUGGACAGAGAGGGAGGAGGAGGGGAGGGGAGCUCGUAGGCUUUGAUGGACAUGCCCCUGGAGCUCUGCUUCCUGAGGAACCCACUUGCCCUAUUCAAUGGGACAUGCAGAUCCUUCUCCUACCCUUGGAGGGAGCCCCAUCCGAGCUCUGAGCCAGGACUGUGCCCCAGGGGCUCUAGCAGGGCAGGCCCACCGCACCCCCUGCUGCCUGAGGGCCAGAGGCACCUACACAAAGGGGACCCUGGAGAGACAGAACUGCACCCCAUGCUCUGUCCACUGCCCCCUCUUCACAGUCAGGGGUCUCCUUACUGCCCACGAGCUUCCUCUUCAGGCUGCAGCCUCUUUUCCGUGGUGAAGCCCUGACCUCAGCGAAAUGGCCUCCAUGGUGGAGAUCCCUGUAGAGGGGGGCCAGAGGGAAGCCGUGCUCAGACAACACUUGUUCCAGAUUGAGGACAUCAGAAGGACAAAGGACAGUGAUGGACUGGCCAAGACCAACCAGCUUCCCACUAUGGCAGUCAUGAGGGGUGGACAAUCUUCACCUCACCCUGCAGUUCCUCCCAUGCUGUCAUCCCUGACUAGGGGGAGAGGACAAUGCAAGGAUGUGUCCUCAGGGACAGAGAGACAGCUCUCAGCAUAUUUCAUGGGUGUUCCACUCUGGCAGACUUGAGCCCUCCUUGUAACAAGCCAGUUACCCUCAGCCUAAGAUCGGACCCAGGGAUCAACUGGGUCUACUCUUUGGGGGUGUACAUAUAGAAGCAGGAGACUGGGAGUGAGCAAGAGUUUUGAGGGGAGAGCUUUUUCCCUAGGCAAGCUGGUCCUAGGAACUAACAUGCUUCCAGUGCAGGACAGAGUGAUCUUCUGACCAAGAGCCCCAGACAGUGAGGACGGCUGAGUCAGCAGGCCACACUCAGGACUUUAGAAAUGGAGGUGCAGCAACACACCCAGUUCCAGGAGACCAUAAGAGAAAGGAUGGCCAUGCGUGACCACCCUCCACUACCCCACCCCACGUACACAUCCCUGGAACUCAGCAGCCAAUUACCCCACUAAGCACAGUGACAAGGAAGGCUCUGGGCAGUGAAUAGGUGCAGGCAGCCCAUGGGUUUUAAUCUCACUUCCCUGUGAGCCCUGAGCACAAUGCAGGCCCCAAGCCACUGCCUUGUGCUGGGCAGUAAUACUCAACCUCAUCUCCAGGCUCAAGCCGCAGAGAGAGAGAUGCUGGGCUGCCUAACCUGGAGCCUAAGAAUCUCUCUGAGAUCCCUUAAAAUCUGUUAUAAUUCUGUGGAUCAGGAGUUUGGGAACAUGGCCCAGGUGUUUCUACAACCAAGCUGCUCCCUGGUUGCCAACACUGUUGCUGUUUCCAGUGUAGGUGAUGGUAGCCAUCUGUCCUGGGCUCUUGGAUACAGAGGGUGGCUGAGUCAGCCCUGCCUGGGCCACACACACCCUGGCAUGGGAAGGAACAGGUGGAACAGAAAGCCAGGGGAGUGAUGGGGUGGAACAGGGCUGAGAGGUCCCCCACAAAUCUUCCACCCAGGGCAGGUCGGCUGUCACCUGUGCAGACUGAGGAGGACAAGGGCAAAAGGAACACAGGACAUGGUGCAGAUACUCAAUGGUUCUGCCCCCCUGAGACUCCAGUGCCCCCCCCCCCAACGGCCAAGUGUCUCUUAUUCUCUCCCUGGGUACCUAUGGAGGGAGGGGUUUCUACAUUCAAAUAGUACUUGCUCCCAGACACUCCUGGGCAAUGUUAUCUGUGUCGGAAUAAUGCCCACCCCCCAAGAUACUCAUGUUCUAAUCCUUGGAAUCUGCCCAAUGUUGUCUUGUAUGGGGAAAGGUAAUUAAAGUUGUAAACCGGGGUGUGAGAGCAACCUGGCUGCAAUACCUCCUCUUUCCACCAUACUCAAGGUGUUCUCCCCCAGUGUAGCCCUGGGAUUGCUACCAAGUCUAGGGGCAGCUCCCUCCCCACCAGGCAUGGGAGGUGGUAGCUCUGGUCUAGAGAAAGUCUGGCAACCUUGAAAAUUCUGUUUUUUGGCUUCUAAGGAUGUUUUGCAAAGUAGAAACUGGCUCUCUGAACCUCUCCUUGGUCUGUGGUCCGGACAGGUUUUCUCUUAUCCAAAUACACUUCCCACAGCCUCUCUCUCUAUCUUCCUUUCAUUUCUCCACCAAAGGGCUUCCCCCACUCUAUGCCUGUGCUGCCCAUUUUAUUUCUUCCAAUUCACAUACACACACUUCUGUCCCGCCAAGCUGUCUGUUUGCACUUGUGGAGAUUUUUCUGUCCUUCUGCAGCCUGUAUUUCUGGCAUUCCAAGUGCUGUGACCUCAAUACUGCUGUGUUUGAGGGACAAGGGAAAUUCUGAUCCCCCUCCCCUGCCAUCUUAACUCCUCCUGCCUCCUUUUACUUUCCUUUUCACAACUUCAGAGUUCUGUGUAGGUUUGCAUUAUUAUAUCAGUUUAAUAUGUUUUAUAGAUAUUUAUGAUGGGCUUUUUUCUUACUUGAACUGUAUUGAUCUGAAUUUUCUGUCUUUUUGUUUUUUUUAAGUUUAUUCAUUUAUUAAUUGGAGAGAGAGACAGAGAGAGCACAAAUGGGGAGGGGCAGAGAGACAGAGGGAGAGAGAGAAGAUCCCAAGCAGACCCUGCACUGUCAGUGCAGAACCAGAUGGGGGGCUUGAACCCAUGAACUGUGAGAUCAUGCCCGGAGCCAAAAUCAAGAGUCAGGUGCUAACUGACUGAGGCAUCCAGGCGGCCCUAACAUUUUCUUCCUACGUCCACUGGGUACUUUAAAUUUAAUAUGCCCUCGUUUAAAGACAUUGUUUCUGAUGCUUUCCCUUUCCUCUUUCCUGACUCUUUGUAAUCUGCUCUGUCAUUUGUGUUCCCUAGUCUAAUAAAUAGCAUUCCUGAAACAGGAAAAGUCCUGGACUCCAAACUUCCCUGAAAUGACCGCAUGCUGUCACUCACCACAUUCGAUAGUCUGUACCUGCAUACCAUUUUUCAUAUGUUAUUCCUGUAAUUCACUCUCUCACCUAUAAUUUUGCAGUACUCUUCUGGUUUUGCUGUCUUUACGUUCAUCCUCCAUUGCUGCCAGAGUGACCUUUCUAAAAUAUACUUGGGACAAUGUCACUCCUCUGCUUAUUCAAUGGAUCCCCAGUACCUGAAGGAGAAAAUUCAUGUUCUAGCAUAACACUGCUCUUUUUUUUUGUUUUGUUUUGUUUCAUCCUGAUGUUCCAGUAAUAUCUGUCUAUCUCAUUCCCAAUAACUCUGUUCCAGGUUUGCCAUAUUGCAUAGGUGUUGUCACUUACUAUGUUAUUUCAUACUUGAUCCUUUUGCUCCUUCUAGAAUGCCCUUCACACCCUCCCCGUGCACUUUGUCUUUUAAGAUACAGCCCUAUCUUACCAACGUGUGCUGAGCUUCCCAAAUGUACGUGUUUCCUCCUUUGUGCAUUCACUGUAUGUUAUUCACUUCCCUUGUAGAACUAGAGGAUGGUAUUUUUCUGUCCUUACCUGUUUUCAUGCAUCUCUACCGCUACUAGCAUAUAGAACAGACUCUGUCUUUUAUUUCUAUUUCCAGCUCCUCCCCGGAUCGUGGCUGUGACUUGACAGAUACAGUAUGUGCUUGUCUUUCUGAGUGGGUGAGUGCAUGACCAAAUGAAUUAAUGUGAUGUUUUUCUGAAGUUGGGUUUUUGUUUUGUGCUGUUUUUCUGGGAAGGAACAGCAAAGUCAGCGAUGGAAGCAAAGGAAGAUGGUGUUGGUAUUAUUGAAAAUGUGCCACCAGAGCAAACAGUUAAUGACAGUGUGACUUCUGCUGGUGGAGUGCAUAAAAAUUACAGAAGUGAUAUGAUGUCAGCAUUAGAAUUAGGAGAAGAGGAAGAUGUAGAAUCACCUUCUCUUCCUGAGUAUCAAGUUCCAUUAAAGGUUGAAGAAAAAAAGAAGCACAGAAGAAGUGACAUGGAAGUAUCAGAAACAUACAUGAUGCUGCGGCUGCUGGAUUAAUUCCACAAAGACAGAAUGGAAAAACUGAUAACCAUCAAUUGCCUAUUACAGAAAAUAAAGAUUCUGAUAGGAGGGAACCUGGUUUACAUAUGAAGAAGAUAAAUAAAGGUGAAAAUGAAAAAGGGACAUCAAAAGGAUCUGUGAUCACACCAGUGUUGCAGAAGGCAGAUUCCCUAACUGGUAGUCCACUACAAAAGAAUGAUGGCAGCCAUUUCAGUGAAAAGGAUCAGCAUGAAAGCAGGUCAAAAAGCAAAUUACUUCUAUGGAUGACCUUGUCGGCUUCAUUCAGUCAUCUGAAACAGCUUCAGAGCAUUGUGAGUUGUCUUACUCUAAGAAUUUCAUGUUGCUGAUUGAACAACUUGGCAUGGAUUGUAAAGAUUCUGCUGGCUUCUUGAAAAUCCAAGAUAUACUUGUUUCCUAUGAGAAAUUACGGAAACUUAACAAAAUCACUGUAAACUUCUUACAGGAAAAAUGACAAAAAUGGAAAAAAUGGUUAGUGCACUAUAAAAUGAGCUAUGAGAAGCCAAAGACAUGAUAUCACGGUUAGAGCAUCAAAAAGUGGAAUGGGAAUGUGAAUUCUGCAGUUUGAGAUGUACCUUAAAACAAGAAGAAGAAGAAGAAAGAAGAAAUGCUGAUAUGUUAUAUGAAAAAAUUAGGGAAAAGUUAAGAAGAAAAGAAGAUGAAUAUAAGAAAGAAGUUGAAACAAAACAACAAGUUGAACUCGCUCUGAGAACGCUAAACAUGGAAUUGAAGGCCGCAAAAAAUCAGGUAGUUGCGAGACAACUUCAACAAGAACUGGCUGAUACUCUGAAGAAACAGUCUAUGUCAGAGGCUUCCCCAGAGGUUACAUCCCAUCUUCGUCUGGAAGAUGAAACACGGGCUCUCAAGAAGAAAUUAGGUCAAAUCAGAAGUCAGGCUACAGGUUAAAAAUGCCAGGCAAGAAGAAACCAUCAAACAUCAAACGGCCCAAAUUCAAGAUCUUGAGAGCAAUGUGAUAAAGACAAGUUUGGCUGAUGUCUUUACAACAGAACUGGAAACUACAUCAUAAAAAUGAGUUUUGCACCUCGAUGCAAAAAAUCAAGUUCUUCAACAAGAGUUAUUACCAAUGAAAUCUUUCUAAGAACGUGAAAAACUAGAGAGCAAUAACAAGAAGUGAGCAAUAACAAGAAGUUACAGCAAGAAGUAGUCAAAUGGAAACAAUUUAUGGAAAUGAAUAUGGUAGAAUGCAGUCAAGUGGAACAGUAUAAACGGGAUAUUGAAGAAAGAGCAUGACUUGACAUAGUCCAGAAAAAUUACAUAGAAAAAUUACACGAAGUCAACCUGUUUUUACAGGUUAAUUUAUUGAUCUGUAAUGUGCUUUAAUUCAUUUCACUGAAAAUUACAUUUUGGAUAUAUGUAUUGUAUGUGUUUCCUCUACUUGCUUUAUGGUAAUUUGUAGAUUUCUGGAGGCAUUUGUUCCUGCCUUUAAAGAUUUGUUUUCAUCUUUAUUCCUACUAAAUCGAGAGGAUAAGAAAAAAUGAUAAUUUAAACAACUAGUCUCACUAUUAAGAGGAAAAGAAAAAUUGUGAUUUAAAAAUUGCACUGUACUUGGAUUAUUCUUAAGUUUAUUGUUGACUUUUAAAAUUUUGUCAUUUAUUCUAUUAUUUGAAUUAUCAGAUUGUGUGAAUACUAAUACAAGAAUGAUUGAACUUUAGUUUUAUAAAUCAUAUUUAAUUCAGUUGACAUUGAUGAUAAAUAUUUUACGCUUGAGCUUUUUUUCAUUUAAAAUUGCUCUCUGAGGGGCACCUGGGUGGCGCAGUCGGUUAAGCGUCCGACUUCAGC